rnacentral:misc_RNA from 1 species
AAGUCGUAACAAGGUUUCCGUAGGUGAACCUGCGGAAGGAUCAUUAACACUUCUCUCUAUGCUUACUUGCGCUAGCAAGCAGUAUAGUGCAGAUACACACAUCCGUGCUCCUUUCUUUUUUUCACACCUUUAACCGAACUUUUAAUUUUUUUUACUGGACUGGACUUAACGGUCGGUCUAUUUGUUAAUCAUGGGUAGACAUGCGUUUGUGCAUGUGUACUUAUGUACUUACACAACUCUUAACAAUGGAUAUCUCGGCUCUC